rnacentral:lncRNA from 1 species
GCCUGAUUGUUAAAACUGCAUCCAAAAUGAGCAGCUAUAUAGGAAAUAAGCGCUACCUCACUCCAACCUUUAUACGAAUAAAGAGAAAUCUGAAUGUUUUGUUUGUUAAACCUUCAGAUCCAUAUAAUGCUGACCACAUGCUUUUUCAAACAGAGCACACUGUACUUCUUUUAGGACACGAAGCAUGAAUGAUUAGUGAAUAAGCAAUAUAAAAGAGGAAUUUUGCUAAUUGCAUAUACGUCCAUAUAUGUAUCAUAGAGAGAUCAAAGAUAGAGAGAUGCUGCUUUUUCCCUUAUAUGAUGGUUUGGUUCCCUUUUAUCAGUACACCUAGAGUUCCUACUAGACAUUAGCACAAACACAUUACUGGCAGCCAAAGCAUAAAAUUGCUAGCAUGUUAUGGUCACGCCCUGAUUCGUGAUGCAUGGGAAGGGGAAGCAGUGGAGCGGCUGAGCUCCACCGGCCACGCACGGGGUGUCACAGGGGUGUCCACGACGGAUUUAGGAGCUACAACAUCAGUAGAAACCGAACUGCAGAGUGCAGAGGAUCCGACCUUCACUCCAGCGCUGAGGAGGUGACGAGCGUGAGGAGGAGGCCGGUGGAUGACUGAAACUGUAAAGACUAAAGAGGCAUCCGUAACAAAAAUGUUGAGCAGACCUCCAACUUUUGUCCCUGCAGUUUCUUCGGUUCUUCACCUUCCACUUAUCCCUUUGCAAGCAACAAGCUACUCCACUGUUUCCCUUGCUAGCUGCUGUAACAACACAUUCAUUAUUAGUCUAUUCAUGAUCACUACAAGCAAAGAUCACACCAGAUAUUCCCAAUAGAAACAUAAUUUUUAUCAGAAGAAAAAAAUAUUAUUCUUUGCACUAAUGAAGUUCAUUUUUUUCACUUCUACUAAAACGUACUAAGUCCAAAAGAUAGAACACAUUCAUCUCCUCAGUCCUCACGAGUAAAGUAAAAAUAGGGUAUGUACAAAUGUUCAUCCCAAAUGAACACCGGUCAUGAAAUUUUCUGCACCAUAAACAUUGCAAAGCUCAUUUCUUUUAACUGUUAAGAACUGAUGAUUUUCUUUUGUCAAUGAACUCUUCUAACAUAUGUACUAGAAUUUCUAAAAGUUCAACAUUUUUUUGUAAUGGAUAUAAUGAACUCCUUAAUUUCAGACAUGAAAAUUAUAGAAUUUUUUUUUAUAGGCAAUCAAAUUGACAUACAGAGGAGGCGAGAAGGCUGACGGAGAGAGACGACGUCGUUGCAGCCGAAGCCGGUGUAGGCGGUUGGCCUCGUUGAGACGACAUCGUUGCAGCCAAAGACGGUGUAGCCGUGUAGGCGGUUGGCCUCGUCGGCGACGCGCUGGAGGAAGGGAGUGCUGUUGCCGAUAGCGGGAGAUGAGGCCCGUGGAGGCACAGGGUCUCGCGGCUGCCAGCUCAAGGAGUAGUGCGUGUAAAAAAGAUAAAACUGCAAAAUUCAGUACACUUUCUGUAGAACAUCAAAACAGCAACAUUCAGUUCAUCUUCACAAAGGAGGACUGUUGUAGCAUCUAGAUUCGAAGGAGAAGCAUUAUGCUAGAAUAAGUUGGACUGCAUAUAUUCUUCUUUUUGAACUUUUGCAACAAGUUAGAACUCUGUAUGCAGGUCGUGGGGAGGUGAGCGGCGGCAAUGUACGCGGGCCUGAACAUUGUUACUACCCAAAACCACAAACGUGCUACCUGUAGAAAAUCCACAAACGUGCUUAACAUGGAUGGGAUGGAAGUGCUGUGCUCACCCUCACCUUGACUGCUCUGGACUGCUACUCGCGAUGGCCCCAACCUCCCUGACGAUGCGGGGCUCGACUGGGAUGGCAUUGUGUCCCCGUCAGGGCAAUCGGGAGGAGGCGGAGGUGUGGGAACCGGGAUGAGGAAGAAGGUAGGUGCGGGAGCUCCACCUGGGGGGGAUCGUGCCAGAGUGGGGAGGCACUGGGUGGAGCCGAGAAAAGCUUGGAUCCCCGCCGAUGGCCCCCAAUUUUUCUGGAAUAGGAGGCAGGCAGAGUGAGCCGGGGCAAGUAGGCGACUAAUGUGGCGUCCGCUCCGGGGGAACGN